rnacentral:rRNA from 1 species
UACGGGGGAGACAAGUGUUAUUCGUAAUGAUUGGGGCGUAAAGGGUAUUUAGGUGAUUCAAUAAGUUAUUAAUCAAAUAUCAAAUUUCAAGUUUGAUUUUUGGGGUUUUAAUACUGUAUGAAGUAGAGUUCGAAAAAGGAUUGCGGUACUCUUGGUGUAGAGGUAAAAUUCAUAGAUACUAAUGGGGACCAUCAAUAGGCGAAAGCGGCAAUCUUGUUCGAUACUGACACUGAAAAACUAAAGCAUGGGGAGCAAACAGGAUUAGAAACCCCCAGAU